rnacentral:rRNA from 1 species
AUUGAACGCUGGCGGCAGGCCUAACACAUGCAAGUCGAGCGAGCGGCGCACGGGUGAGUAGUGUAUGGGCACUGCCCGAUAGAGGGGGAUAACUACUGGAAACGGUGGCUAAUACCGCAUACCAUCGGAUAACCCAUAUGGGAUUAGCUGGUAGGUGGGUAAAGGCUCACCUAGGCGACGAUCGCUCGCUGGUCUGAGAGGAUGAUCAGCCACACUGGGACUGAGAUAGGGCCCAGACUCCUACGGAGGCAGCAGUGGGGAAUAGUGCACAAUGGGCGCAAGCCUGAUGCAGCCAUGCCGCGUGUAUUAAGAAGGCCUUAGGGUUGUAAAGUACUUUCAGCGGGGAGGCGUUACCCGCAGAAGAAGCACCGGCUAACUCCGUGCCAGCAGCCGCGGUAAUAC